GCAAGUCGAGCGCACUCUUCGGAGUGAGCGGCGGACGGGUUAGUAACGCGUGGGAACGUACCUUUUGCUACGGAAUAGCCCAGGGAAACUUGGAUUAAUACCGUAUACGCCCUUUGGGGGAAAGAUUUAUCGGCGAGAGAUCGGGCCCGCGUCUGAUUAGGUAGGUUGGUGGGGAAUGGCCUACCAAGCCGACGAUCAGUAGCUGGUUUGAGAGGAUGAUC
rnacentral:rRNA from 1 species